UGCGUGACCAACCUGCCCCAUGCUCCAGAAUAGCUCUUGGAAACGGGUGGUAAUGCUGGAUGCUCCAACUUGACGCAUGUCUUGUUGGGAAAGUGUUUAGUGGCAUGGGAUGGGGUCGCGUCCUAUCAGCUUGUAGGCGGGGUAAUGGCCCACCUAGGCUUCGACGGGUAGCCGGCCUGAGAGGGCGGACGGCCACAUUGGGACUGAGAUACGGCCCAGACUCCUACGGGAGGCAGCAGCA
rnacentral:rRNA from 1 species